AUGCAGUACAGGUAUAACAAUGUUAAAGGUAAAAAAAUAACUUUUGGAUAAAACAUAAACACUUACUUUUCUAUAAAAUUGUUCUUUCCAAAUAAAAUGUAAAGUGAAUUUUAAGCUCAGACCAAAUGAUCAAAUUGUUUAUAGGCAGAAAGGCCUUCUUUCACCAAAAUCACACUUAUUACUCAUUUCUGGAAUAUGGUAGAUUUUCAAAACAAACUCUGUUUUUAUGUGAAAGAAUUGCAAAAAUAAAAAUGAAAAUAGAAAACAAACAUUUUUAGAUAAAUAACAUGAUAUAUCUUUGACCCAAUAAAUACUGAUAUAAAGCACAUUCCACUGACUCAAAGUUAAAAUAAAAGGUUUAACAAUACUUUUUUCUCAUCAUAAACACCGUGAGGAAGUUGCAGCAAUAGUUUGUACAGAUCUAUCUUUAUUCAAUCUUCAUCCCGAGGAAGCUGCAGCAAUAGUUUGUACAGAUCUAUCUUUAUUCAAUUUUCAUCCCGAGGAAGCUGCAGCAAUAGUUUGUACAGAUCUAUCUUUAUUCAAUC
rnacentral:lncRNA from 1 species